CCUACGGGGGGCAGCAGUGGGGAAUAUUGGACAAUGGGGGGAACCCUGAUCCAGCCAUGCCGCGUGUGUGAAGAAGGCCCUCGGGUUGUAAAGCACUUUCAGUGAGGAAGAACGCCUGGUGGUUAAUACCCAUCAGGAAAGACAUCACUCACAGAAGAAGCACCGGCUAACUCCGUGCCAGCAGCCGCGGUAAUACGGAGGGUGCGAGCGUUAAUCGGAAUUACUGGGCGUAAAGCGCGCGUAGGUGGCUUGAUAAGCCGGUUGUGAAAGCCCCGGGCUCAACCUGGGAACGGCAUCCGGAACUGUCAAGCUAGAGUGCAGGAGAGGAAGGUAGAAUUCCCGGUGUAGCGGUGAAAUGCGUAGAGAUCGGGAGGAGUACCAGUGGCGAAGGCGGCCUUCUGGACUGACACUGACACUGAGGUGCGAAAGCGUGGUAGCAAACAGGAUUAGAUACCCCAGUAGUC
rnacentral:rRNA from 1 species